UACGUCGGGGGCAAGCGUUGUCCGGAUUUACUGGGCGUAAAGCGCGUGUAGGUGGCAUGGUAAGUCUGCUGUGAAAGCUCCUCGCUUAACGGGGAGAGGUCGGUGGAAACUACCAAGCUAGAGGACGGUAGAGGAGAGUGGAAUUCCCGGUGUAGUGGUGAAAUGCGUAGAUAUCGGGAGGAACACCAGUGGCGAAGGCGGCUCUCUGGGCCGCUCCUGACGCUGAGACGCGAAGGCCAGGGUAGCGAACGGG
rnacentral:rRNA from 1 species